UCAACAGGGAUCGAUGUCUGUAUAGCAACUCAAUUCACUCGCCAAAUUCCUGUCAACCUAAACGGAGCUGCAUUGGUUCCGCUGCAGAGGAGACGCUGUGCAAUCCCGCCAUGAAGUACGUGAAGCGGCUCGACCAGCGGCUCAAGGCGAGGAAGAUGGAGGUUCCGAGGAGCAAAUACGGACGGAUUGGCAAGAAGAACAAGGACGGGAUCAAGACGCCGUUCAUGAAGAAUCCUCAGCUUCGAUCCUUCAUGAUCAGGGACGGGAAUUACGUGUCCCUGAAAGCGGCGGCUCCUCUCGACCUGUAAAAUGGCUUCUGUGGGAAGGAGAUGGACCAACAUGGCGGCGGGACAGGGUUUUCAUUUUGUCUUGUUAUGUGUGUAUUCUCGUUUUGUUUUCUUUUCUUUUUUCUGAGGCGAGAAAGGAUAUGAUUUUGAUUUUGUAUUUAGUAUAUAUGUAAACUUUUUUUUCGUGUUAGCAUUAUUAUUUGUAUUCUCUUGUCCCGAUCUGUUUAAAAACUAUGUUACUGCAUCGAUGGAUCAUCUCAAAAAUAAGUGGAAAAACAAUGCUUGCGAAGAGUAUUCCAGCUUGAUCUAAAACUUUCUCCCAAGCGCACACAAGCACUCCAAUCCUCUACUGGAGAUUCGUCAUAACUGAUAAAUCGACAAAACCGAUCGACUACUUUUUUAUAGGUUCGGAAUCCCUUGCGCAAAGGAGCUUUAUCUUCGUUCCCUUAUUGUUUUCAGAUAAUGGCAAAGGAGGAUAAAGUUCCGCUGUAAUUCUUAAGCAUAUUUAAGGCCAACUGGUCCUUGGUGGUAUUCUUAAAUGAUAAUGAUGGCAAAGAGAUAUAUAAAGGACUUAAUCUUAAUCCAAAAGUUCGGUUAUCAAUAAAAAUAUCUUCUAAUAUCACGGUACUGACAUUUCUCUUUUUCCUCCGCUCUUAAAAUAGAUAUCAAAAUGGCUAAAUCGAGCGAAUCGAGAGCAAAUAAAGAAAUUCUAUCAAAGGGAUCAUAGAUAAAAAAAAA